ACCCAGCUGAGGAGUUCCAGAUAGGACGAAACGCACGUCCUAAAU
rnacentral:hammerhead_ribozyme from 1 species